rnacentral:rRNA from 1 species
GACAGAGGGUGCAAACGUUGUUCGGAAUUACUGGGCGUAAAGCGUGCGUAGGCGGCUUUGCAAGUCGGAUGUGAAAGCCCCGGGCUCAACCCGGGAAGUGCACUCGAUACUGCAGAGCUUGAGUGUGGGAGAGGUGAGUGGAAUUCCUGGUGUAGCGGUGAAAUGCGUAGAUAUCAGGAGGAACACCUGUGGCGAAAGCGGCUCACUGGACCACAACUGACGCUGAUGCACGAAAGCUAGGGGAGCAAACAGG